UACGGAGGGUGCAAACGUUGCUCGGAAUCAUUGGGCGUAAAGCGCACGUAGGCGGCUUGUUAAGUCGGGUGUGAAAGCCCCAGGCUCAACCUGGGAAGUGCACUCGAAACUGGCGAGCUUGAAUAUGGAAGAGGGUCGCGGAAUUCCCGGUGUAGAGGUGAAAUUCGUAGAUAUCGGGAGGAACACCAGUGGCGAAGGCGGCGACCUGGGCCAAUAUUGACGCUGAGGUGCGAAAGCGUGGGGAGCAAACAGG
rnacentral:rRNA from 1 species